GUCUUCUAUUUCUUCAGUAUAUCAUUAAAAUAAGCUAUCUUUAGAUGUAUUCUUCAAGACUAUAUGGCUUUCAUUAUACAUGAUGUUUGCAUUUCAGUACAGUUAAAUACUCAUGGAAUACCUGAAGGUAGUGGGGAAUUAUGUUUGCCUUCUGUCAUUCCUUCAUUUAAUCAUACCCAGUUAUCUUUUUAAAAUGGUGUUAAUUGUUUUUACCCUUCUAAGCAAUUAAGAGAUAAGGUUUGUUUUUGGUAUUUAUGACCUGAAUGAGGGAAUUGAGUGCACCCUCAGUAAGCUUGCAGAUGACACCAACUUAGCAUUAGGUGUUGAUCUGCCUGUGGGUGGGAAGGCCCACAGAGGGAUCUGGAUGGGCUGGAUAGCUGGGCUGAGGCCAACAGGAUGAAAUUCAAUGUGACCAAGUACAGGACCUGCACUUUAGCCACAGCAACCCCAGGCAAGGCUACACACUUGGGGCAGAGUGCCUGGAAGUCUCUUUCUGUGAAAGAGUGGUCAGGCACUGGAGUCAGAUGCCUGGAGAGGUGGUGGGGCUGCCUGUCCAUGGAGGUGUUCUAGAAACAUUUAGAUGUUGUACUGAGGGACAUAGUUUAGUGGGAAUUAUUGAUGAUAGGUGAAUGGUUGGACUGGAUGAUCUUGGAGUUCUUUUCCAACUUCUGUAGUUCUAUGAUUCCCUGAAAUACUUGAAGGUUUAACAAUUUUAUUCAAGGUUAGUAAAAUGAUGCUCUGUCUGAUAGUACUUUUCAUCUUAUUGUCUAAAUUCAACUUCUACCUACCAGUAUUCCUAUGACUACUUAAGCCAGGUUCUGCUCUUUAGAAUUCUAUAGUUCAGUAAAGCAUGAGUAACUACUCUUAAUUUUAUGAGCAUGUGUGCUUCUGGGAGUGGACUCUGUCUCAGGCAUUUUAAUAACUGUCAAGGGUAACAGUCUACUUCUAACAAAAACACAUUUUUGUGAUGUUUAACUGGAGGCCUUUCUUGUAUAUAUUUUCAUGAAAUACAAAUGUCUCCGAAAAGAAAAGAUUGGACCAAAGAUUAUGUAAGUGCUGUCCCAUCAUUGAGCAGAAUUACAGCAACAACAACAUUGAUUUAACACAAAGUGUAAUGUGUUCCAUUUCUGGUUUGUUUAAAAGCAUAUGGAUUAAUUUUAUGCUUUGGCCAAAGUUAAAUGAACCACAGUAAAACUUUUGCACUAUUUUAGCUAACAUCCACAAAUUAACUCACACCUUCCCUUCUGUUCGUGUGAGGCAGGCCUUGUGAUUUGCAUGGUUUUCUUUUGCUCUGUUUGUUACUGGGCGAGAGUCUAUUCUAAGAGUACUGGAAGAUAAUGUGGUAGUUAGGUUGAAACUGUCAUCCAGUCACAGAAGAAAGAUCAGGACUUGAGAAGUGUUACUGCCAAAGCCAAGCCCCAUAUUCCAAUGCAGCUACUUCUAAAUGUUUGCAGUAUUCCUGGAAACCUCUGUCAAAGAUUCCACAGCAUCCUCAGCUGAACAUUUCACUUUACUGAUGUGUUGUGGAAAAGAGGUCUAUUUCUGAGAAGUCUGAGAGCUGAUCCUUACCACAGACUUAUUUCUGAUCGCCACUGUCAUAUCACUCCUCAGCUGAGUGCCAAGUCUUCAUCUGUUUCCCACUCUGCCCAGGCAGCAAGGAGAAUGGGGAUGCACAAGGAGCUGGAAAGGGACACAGCCAGGCCAGCUGAGUCCAAAUUGAUGUUCCAUGCCACACACAUUCACACACAAAAAUGGGAAAUAGGUGAACACCAGUCUGCUGAUGGGAAGUUGAAAAUGAAUUCCUUAUUUUGCUUUGCUUUGCUUGCACAUGCAGCUUUAGCUUUAUUUAUUAAACUGUCUUUAUCUGGACCAACAGUUUUUCUUGUUUUCACUCCACUAAUUCUCUAACCCUAUCCCAGUUGAGGGAGGGAGAACAGCUGUGUGGUGCUUAGCUAUGUACUGGGGUUGAGACACAACACACAAGUAGUUAAGUGACUAUUCACUAAAAAAAAAUCUCCAAAACAAAACAAAAAAGAGAAAAAAAUAUCAUGAGGUAUAUAGCCAUGUAGUGAAUGCACAAGCUGAAAAUUGUCAUUUCCAAGGCUUUACAAAGACCAAAACUAAAUAACCAGUAUUGAAGGAAGGUUUGCAGUGCUAUAUAAGGAAUAGUCAGUAAUUAAAGCUGCAAAGUAAAUGUAAUUCCAGCACUCCAUCCCAGAGCCUCCAAGUUGAUGGCUGCAAUAAAAUUUGUCAGUUCCUCCAUUUUUCCUGCUAACAACACAGAAGCUCAGACCUUCAAAUUCAAUCUCUGCAGAAGUACCAUUCUGUUGCAGUCAGCAUGGCAAACAGCAAGUGACUACAGCACAAAAUUAGUAGUAUAUCUAGGUGAAUUCUUAACAUCGAAAGUGGGUGUUACAAGAUAUUCUGUGUUUGGUUGGUAAAGCUUCUAAAGCCAUCCCAGAUUAAAAACAACAACAGCAACAGCAAAACAACAACAACAACAGAAACACUCUUGUCCAAAGACUUGG